rnacentral:rRNA from 1 species
AGCAGUGAGGAAUAUUGGUCAAUAGCCUAACGGCUGAACCAGCAAUUUGGGGGAAUGUAUAGCGAAAGCUAAUUGUAUUAWCUAUUAUUAGUUAAUGCAAGAUCGACUAUGUCGACUAAAGUUCUAGGUAGAAUAAUGAUGAUGACAAUUUUUUACCUAUAUGUCUUGACCAAAUCUCGUGCCAGCAGUCGCGGUAAUACGUGGAAGACUAGUGUUAUUCAUCUUUAUUAGGUUUAAAGGGUACCUAGACGGUAUUUCUAGCCCAAAAUAGGGUACGGAUUUACUAGAGUUUUAUGUGAGGAGGGGAGUACUCAUGGAGUAGAGAUGAAAUUUUGUCAUACUAUGAGGUAACUGGUGGCGGCGAAAGCAACCUUCUAUGUUUAAACUGACGUUGAGGGACGAAGGCUUGGGUAGCAAAUAGGAUUAGAUACCCUAGUAGUCCAAGCAGACAAUUCUGAAUGCCAUAGAUUAGAUUAUUUUUGAUCUAUAAAUGAAAGUGUAAGCAUUCCACCUUAGGAGUAAUGUGGCAACACAGGAACUGAAAUCAUUAGACCGUUUCUGAAACCAGUAGUGAAGUAUGUUAUUUAAUUUGAUGGUCCACAAAAAACCUUACCACAACUUGAAUAUUGUUAAAUUAAUACAAGAGUUGCACGGCUGUCUUCAGUUAAUGUCGUGAGAUUUUGGUUAACUCCAUUAAUUAACGUAAACCCUUACUUUAUUUAUUUUUUUUUUUAUAAAGUAGUUCGCCUUUAUAUUGGAUAUGAUAAAAGGGACUAAGACAAGUCAUCAUGGCCUUAAUGUUGKGGGCUAUAAACGUGCC